rnacentral:tRNA from 1 species
UCCCUGGUGGCUCAAAUGGUAAAGAAUCUGCCUGCAAUGCAGGAGAUCCAGGUUUGAUCCCUGGGUUGGGAG